rnacentral:rRNA from 1 species
GACAGAGGCCUCGAGCGUUAGGCGGAAUCACUGGGCUUAAAGCGUGUGUAGGCGGGCCCGUAAGUGUCUUGUGAAAUCCCACGGCUCACCCGUGGAACUGCUGGGCAUACUGGCGAUCUUGGGCCAACUAGGGGCAGUCGGAACAAGCGGUGGAGCGGUGAAAUGCGUAGAUAUCGCUUGGAACGCCGAAGGUGAAAACAGACUGCUGGGGUUGCGCCGACGCUGAGACACGAAAGCCAGGGGAGCAAACGGG